UCUCCGUCAGAGAGGGAAUCAGCCCACUUAGAUGAUAAAAAUUCCUCUGUUUGUAUAAAUGAAGGUUUCAGUUUGCUCUGAUUUGUGAAUUUACUGUAUUAAAUUGAAUUUUAAAGUUCUAAGGUUGAUUUAAAAGUAUCCAUUUAUAACAUUUCAAAGAACAAAGGAACUUUUAUUUACAGCUUCCUUAUCUCUUUUGGUGCUCGGAGACUCCCAGCUAACAACUUCACAGGGCGGAAAGAUUUACAGGCCUGUGACAUCAUAGUCCAACGUGGAACUAAGGCUGAAGUUACUAUUAACUCUUUAUAGACCCCGUUAACCGUUUGUUUAACUUACUGUUUUCAGUUAUUGGGAUCCUCAGAGAGGACAUAACCUGGACUUUCCCUUCCUCUCUCAUCCUGAUUCUAAUAGCAUCUGUAACUGGAUUAAAAAUCUUUUCUUUCAGGAGGCCAUCCAGGCUUUAAGCUCACAAGAAAUCUUCUCCUGCGAGAGGAGAGAGGGACCCCCCGGAAGGGGCUGGAGGCUCUCCCUCUCAACAGGGACAGGAAGAAACUGAAAGCUGGAAUUCAUAACCAUUCCCUUACUCAAGUCCUUACAGGCUGUGCAGUAUACCCAGAAAGCCACCCAUAAGCUUGUUCCUGUACAACCCUUCCAGCCCAAGGACUCGGUAUAGGUAAAGAAGUUCACUGCCCAAGGACUCACCCCAACCUGGAAGGGAUGCUACACUGUUAUCCUGAGCACGCCCACGGCUGUUGAAGUAGACGGCGUCCAGACCUGGCUACACCACUCCCAGCUCCUGCACCAGGAAACGGCCUAGAUCCUGGCAACCAGCGGCCUCACCCGUGAGAUCCCUAGCCUGGGCUCCACGCAGGCCAGGAGGAAACUCAACACCUGCAGGAGAAGAACUGGAAUUCACUGUGGACAGUACUGUUGGGGACUGUAGUACUAAAGGCCUUAACCAGAAGUAAAAGACAAAGUAAAAAUGCAAA